rnacentral:rRNA from 1 species
UACGUAGGGUGCAAGCGUUAAUCGGAAUUACUGGGCGUAAAGCGUGCGCAGGCGGUUUUGCAAGACAGAUGUGAAAUCCCCGGGCUCAACCUGGGAACUGCAUUUGUGACUGCAAGGCUAGAGUACGGCAGAGGGGGAUGGAAUUCCGCGUGUAGCAGUGAAAUGCGUAGAUAUGCGGAAGAACACCAGUGGCGAAGGCGGCUCACUGGUCCGGUACUGACGCUGAGGUGCGAAAGCGUGGGGAGCAAACAGG